GCCCGCCUAGCUCAAUCGGAUAGAGCGUCAGACUCUUAAUUUAGGCGGGUAUCUGAAGGCUGCGAGUUCGACCCUCGCGGUGGGCU